GGACUACUCGGGUUUCUAAUCCCGUUCGCUCCCCUCGCUUUCGCACCUCAGCGUCAGGUACCAGCCAGGACACUGCCUGCGCCUUUGGUAUUCCUCCGGAUAUCUACGCAUUUCACCACUACACCCGGAAUUCUGUGUCCCUCUCUGGCCCUCGAGUCACCCCGUCUUUAGGGCGCUCUCCCGGUUAAGCCGGGAGCUGUAACCCCAAACUGAGGCGACCGCCUACGUGCCCUUUACGCCCAGUAACUCCGGACAACGCUCGCCCCCUACGUAUUACCGCGGCUGCUGGCAC
rnacentral:rRNA from 1 species